UAGGUGCUCAACAUCUAACUUGCAGCGCGAACUGGCGGACUUGAGUGCACGCAACGUAUGCGGAAUUCAUGGUGUAGCGGUGAAAUGCUUAGAUAUCAUGACGAACUCCGAUUGCGAAGGCAGCGUACGGGAGUGUUACUGACGCUUAAGCUCGAAGGUGCGGGUAUCGAACAGGAUUAGAUACCCUGGUAGUCCGCACGGUAAACGAUGGAUGCCCGCUGUUAGCGCCUGGCGUUAGCGGCUAAGCGAAAGCAUUAAGCAUCCCACCUGGGGAGUACGCCGGCAACGGUGAAACUCAAAGGAAUUGACGGGGGCCCGCACAAGCGGAGGAACAUGUGGUUUAAUUCGAUGAUACGCGAGGAACCUUACCCGGGCUUGAAUUGCAGACGCAGGAUACAGAGAUGUUGACUCCCUUCGGGGCGUCUGUGAAGGUGCUGCAUGGUUGUCGUCAGCUCGUGCCGUGAGGUGUCGGCUUAAGUGCCAUAACGAGCGCAACCCCUUUCCUUAGUUGCCAUCAGGUGAUGCUGGGCACUCUGGGGACACUGCCACCGCAAGGUGUGAGGAAGGUGGGGAUGACGUCAAAUCAGCACGGCCCUUACGUCCGGGGCUACACACGUGUUACAAUGGCCGGUACAGAGGGACGGUGUAAUGCAAAUUGCAUCCAAUCUUGAAAGCCGGUCCCAGUUCGGACUGAGGUCUGCAACCCGACCUCACGAAGCUGGAUUCGCUAGUAAUCGCGCAUCAGCCAUGGCGCGGUGAAUACGUUCCCGGGCCUUGUACACACCGCCCGUCAAGCCAUGAAAGCCGGGGGUGCCUGAAGUUCGUAACCGCGAGGAG
rnacentral:rRNA from 1 species